rnacentral:misc_RNA from 1 species
UUUGCUGCCUCCACCCCAACUUUGACUUGGCCCUUCAUUUGCAGCAGGCCCUUUGUUCCAAUCAGUUGUCCAGUUCCCACCAACUGAAUUUGAUGCAUUCCAUUUUGGAGCUUCAGUUUGCCCUCCUAAUGAUUGAUUAUGAUCUAAACUUUUGUCAUCACCCUGACAUUCACCUUUCUCAUCACCCCAACUAGAUUUCUUCUCAAAAGAGG